UCAUUUUGGUGGCUGCAUUCUGUACCGGUGACGUUCGACGUUUGAUAGUUCAUCAAAUAGCAGCGCUGUUAAAUUUGGUCACCUGUCAGCUGCGCUACCGUUUUAGCAGCGCGUUUAGUAGCGACCGGUAAAGUGUCAAGUAAUGAUACUGCGCUGACAAACGGUUUAUACUCACCACCGAAAUGAAGCUUAUGAUAAAUAAAAUACUGCUGCUUGCUGUUCACUGAUUCAAGAUCGUUCAGUGGCUACCAUUGGCCAAUCUUACCAACGGGAUAUAAUAAGAACUGAUGCAGGUUUAUGCACCAAGCCAAGUAACAGCAAUGCGAGUUAAAAUGAGUUAAAAUCAAGUUUAAAUUGAAUUAAAAUUAAUUUGAAAAUAAAAAAAAUUGUAAAACAAAUAA